GAUGAACGCUGGCGGCGUGCUUAACACAUGCAAGUCGAACGAAGCAUUUGCGACAGAUUUUUUCGGAAUGAAGUUGCUUAUGACUGAGUGGCGGACGGGUGAGUAACGCGUGGGUAACCUGCCUUGUACUGGGGGAUAGCAGCUGGAAGCGGCUGGUAAUACCGCAUAAGCGCACAAUGUUGCAUGACAUGGUGUGAAAAACUCCGGUGGUAUAAGAUGGACCCGCGUCUGAUUAGCUAGUUGGUGAGAUAACAGCCCACCAAGGCGACGAUCAGUAGCCGACCUGAGAGGGUGACCGGCCACAUUGGGACUGAGACACGGCCCAGACUCCUACGGGAGGCAGCAGUGGGGAAUAUUGCACAAUGGAGGAAACUCUGAUGCAGCGACGCCGCGUGAGUGAAGAAGUAAUUCGUUAUGUAAAGCUCUAUCAGCAGGGAAGAUAGUGACGGUACCUGACUAAGAAGCUCCGGCUAAAUACGUG
rnacentral:rRNA from 1 species